GUCUACGGCCAUGCCACCCUGAACAAGCCUGAUCCUGACUGAUCUCGGAAGCUAAGCAGGGUCGGGCCUGGUUAGUACUUGGAUGGGAGACCACCUAGGAGGACCAGGUGCUGUAGGCA
rnacentral:rRNA from 1 species